rnacentral:rRNA from 1 species
GCCGAUGCGCAGCUACCAUGCAAGUCGAGCGGUAACAGAGAGUAGCUUGCUACUCUGCUGACGAGCGGCGGACGGGUGAGUAAUGCUUGGGAAUGUACCUUAUGGUGGGGGACAACAGUUGGAAACGACUGCUAAUACCGCAUAAUGUCUUCGGACCAAAGCGGGGGACCUUCGGGCCUCGCGCCAUAAGAUCAGCCCAAGUGGGAUUAGCUAGUUGGUGAGGUAAUGGCUCACCAAGGCGACGAUCCCUAGCUGGUUUGAGAGGAUGAUCAGCCACACUGGGACUGAGACACGGCCCAGACUCCUACGGGAGGCAGCAGUGGGGAAUAUUGCACAAUGGGCGCAAGCCUGAUGCAGCCAUGCCGCGUGUGUGAAGAAGGCCUUCGGGUUGUAAAGCACUUUCAGUAAGGAGGAAAGGUUGGAUGUUAAUAGCAUUCAGCUGUGACGUUACUUACAGAAGAAGCACCGGCUAACUCCGUGCCAGCAGCCGCGGUAAUACGGAGGGUGCGAGCGUUAAUCGGAAUUACUGGGCGUAAAGCGUACGCAGGCGGUUUGUUAAGCGAGAUGUGAAAGCCCCGGGCUCAACCUGGGAACUGCAUUUCGAACUGGCAAACUAGAGUGUGAUAGAGGGUGGUAGAAUUUCAGGUGUAGCGGUGAAAUGCGUAGAGAUCUGAAGGAAUACCGAUGGCGAAGGCAGCCACCUGGGUCAACACUGACGCUCAUGUACGAAAGCGUGGGGAGCAAACAGGAUUAGAUCCCC